AGGUCUCACCCCUCACCGAGAUGCACUCAGGGCCUAUUAGUGAAACAGCCUGAGAAAUGGCACUCUCCCAGGAGCUGACUGAGCCGGCCACUGCCUAGGAGAGGAAGUCAUAGUCUAAGUCUGGAAGGAACUGAAAGGAGACAAGCAGUGUGCCGACUCUUGUGUCAACCAAUGAAUGUCAAUUAAGGCUGAAAAUAAAACUCAAACCUCUGAGAGAAGUCAAAAGAUGGCUGCAUAAGCAGACUGAGCUCGCCUCCUCCCGUGGACACGGCCAAUUUACAACUACUCAUGGAAAGAUUACCCUGAGACAGAACUGAAAACUGGAUAAGAGGAACUCCUGCAACAAACGACAAUCCUAAUUGAGGUGGAAGAGGCAGAAACUCCCUUCUGGAGAGGAAAAACGCCGCCUUCACAAGCCGCCAGCUUCACAGCCACCUGGGAGCAGCUCACAGGGUCAAGACUAUUUGAGAAAGACGCCAUUAUUCUAUGUUGACUUUUCAGCUCUGAAGCAGGAAAAUAAAACAAAGCCCAAUAUCAUUAUUGCAUAGAGAGCAAGGAGCAGACCAUUAGUAGGAUUAUUACAGAGGUGGGUGAGGAUUGGAUGACAGAAGAUUUCGUAGGCUGUGCUACAAAUUUGAGCUUAAUUUAAGGGCAAUGGAAAACUACUAAAGGAUUUAAUUAAGAGAGUGAUAUAAUAUGUAUUUUUCAAAGAUCAUUUUGGAAUGAAGUGAGACAAGAAAAACUCAGAGAUAUUGGUCAGGAGAGUAUUGUGAUUAUCCAAGGAAGCAAUGAUGGUGGCUUGGACAAAGGUAUGAUGGCAGUGAGUAUGAAGAAAACUGAAAGGAGAUCAAGUAAAGAAACUGAG